rnacentral:pre_miRNA from 1 species
CAGACUUUUCCUAGUCCCUGAGACCCUAACUUGUGAGGUAUUUUAGUAACAUCACAAGUCAGGCUCUUGGGACCUAGGCGGAGGGGA